AAUAGAUACCCUGGUAGUCCACGCCGUAAACGAUGAGUGCUAAGUGUUAGGGGGUUUCCGCCCCUUAGUGCUGCAGCUAACGCAUUAAGCACUCCGCCUGGGGAGUACGGUCGCAAGACUGAAACUCAAAGGAAUUGACGGGGGCCCGCACAAGCGGUGGAGCAUGUGGUUUAAUUCGAAGCAACGCGAAGAACCUUACCAGGUCUUGACAUCCCGUUGACCACUGUAGAGAUAUGGUUUCCCCUUCGGGGGCAACGGUGACAGGUGGUGCAUGGUUGUCGUCAGCUCGUGUCGUGAGAUGUUGGGUUAAGUCCCGCAACGAGCGCAACCCUUGAUCUUAGUUGCCAUCAUUUAGUUGGGCACUCUAAGGUGACUGCCGGUGACAAACCGGAGGAAGGUGGGGAUGACGUCAAAUCAUCAUGCCCCUUAUGACCUGGGCUACACACGUGCUACAAUGGACGAUACAAACGGUUGCCAACUCGCGAGAGGGAGCUAAUCCGAUAAAGUCGUUCUCAGUUCGGAUUGUAGG
rnacentral:rRNA from 1 species